rnacentral:lncRNA from 1 species
CAUUCAGGCUAUAAAGAAAGGCUGCUCAAUAGAGAGCGUGCUUCCUGCACACAACUGGGUAUCAUAGUAGGGUCCGGGACACUGGCCAACCAGAGGAAUGAAUCUGGGGGCCUCUCGGCCCCAGCAGCUCCAGGACAGGGGCUGUUGGAAAACAGAGAAAAUAGGAGAAUUGUGCAUUGGGGAGAAAGGACCAAGCUUUUCUGCUGGUCCUGAAAAGAGAAUUCCACUUCCCUCCAGGUAAAUCAGCCCCCACCCACCCCAUCCUAGGUGGGUUAUUGGGUCCUGGGUCUGAUAGCAGGAUGGAGUCAUAAGAUUUGAUGUGUCCUAGAACACUAAACCAGGAAUAACAUCAGUAACCCCUUGUCACAGCUGAGACCACUGAGUUCCCAGAUGGUCAAAUGACUUAGCCAAGGUCACCGGGCCAAGAUCAUGUUGGAGAGAGAAGGAAGUAGAGCUCUGUCUGCAUUCCUGGCAUCCUAAUCCACAGCCCGGAGGUUGAUGAUGGUUCCAGCUUUGGGGCAAGAGGCAAAAGGGAGAUUUGGGCACACAGAUGCGGCUGGAGAUGCUAGAAUAAACAUGCAGGGCCUGGCCAGAAAGGCAGUGGCCUUCCACUCUACACCCUCACUCCUCUAUGCCGCAAUCGUGAAUAAUAAGAUGUGACCACUCUCUACAAAACCUGAGAAGGUCAACUCCAGAUUCCUCUCCCUUCAUUCUUGUUUAAGCCCGAAAGGAGCUUUGUUGGGGCACUUUCACUUCUCAGGCAUAAGAAGGAUGCAAGCGUCCUUAAAGGGCUUUCAGCAGAUGGGCUGAAACUCAAAUUCUUCUUGAAGCAACUCAGGUUCCCUCCACCCCUUUGGAAAACGUCUAAUUAAAAACAAAUCAAAAGGAAGAAAAAUCAGGACCAUCCUCUUUCUGUUGCUCAUGCUUUGAAGAUCUCAAGUUUGUUCUGCAUUCUAAGACUCAUGCAUGCAGCUCACUCCCAACCCUGUCAAAGUCACUCAUACAACAUAUGGCACAUACUUCAUCAUCACCGAUCCCAUCCAUUCUCAACACAUUUUGGAGGAACUUGCUGAUGGGUUACAUAGAGGAGUUGAGGGAAACGCAGGAGUCAGGAAUGACUUCAAGUAUUUUGGUCUCCGUGACUCGCAAAUGGUGAUAUCAACAAUGAAAUCUAGAGGGAUGGGACACCUGGGUGGCUCAGUGGCUGAAUGUCUGCCUUCAGCUCAGGACAUGAUCUCAGGGGUCCUGGGAUCGAGUCCCACAUCAGGCUUCCAGCAGGGAGCCUGCUUUUCCCUCUGCCUAUGUCUCUGCCUCUCUCUGUGUCUCUCAUGAAUAAAUAAAUAAAUAAAAUCUUUUUUAAAAAUGAGAUCUAGAG